rnacentral:lncRNA from 1 species
GUAUUGGUGACUCCAGAACAGAUAAAUAACUUCAUUUCAAACUUAAACUUACUUGAUCAGAUCGGCAACUUUGAACUAAAUCACAUAUUUGCUCAUAGCCAAAGGCUGAACAGUGAAGCAAUAGUUGCUUUUGUCAAGGCCCUUUGCAAAGUUUCGAUGUCAGAACUACAGUCUCCAACAGAUCCCCGUGUAUUUAGCCUUACAAAAAUUGUUGAAGUUGCUGUUGUCAGAACUACAGUCUCCAACAGAUCCCCGUGUAUUUAGCCUAACAAAAAUUGUUGAAGUUGCGUAAGAUUCUGUCCUUGAACUCAUCAAUUUUUAUCUCACGAAGAAACUUUUAUAAAGUGAAUUGAUGAAAGUAUGAUCUUGAUUAUGCAGGCACUAUAACAUGAACCGUAUCAGAUUAGUGUGGUCCCACAUAUGGAGUGUUCUUUCGGAGUUCUUUGUGGCUGUUGGUUUGUCAGAAAAUCUUUCAGUUG